GCCGGGUGCAGAGGUGUACACCUGUCAGCCCAGGGGCCCGGGAGGCUGAGGCAGGAGGAUCGUGAGUUCAGAGCCAACCUCAGCAGAAGCGAAGCCCUAAGCAACUCAGUGAGACCCUGUCUCUA
rnacentral:sRNA from 1 species